rnacentral:lncRNA from 1 species
CUCAAAUUUAAACCUUGAAUUUCCCCUAUACAAGUUACCGCUGUCUGUAUUCAAAAGAAUUGGGCAAUGAUCAGACAAUGAGUGGGUUAAAUGUUGAACGUAUCCUGUUGGAAAUAGCUGCCUCCAUUUUUCAUUCGCCACACCCCUAUCAAGCCUUUCUUUUAUAUUUGUUUCCGGCAAGUUUCCCCUUUCCCAUGUAAACCAAACCCCUUAAUACCCUAUAUCC